CAGAGGUGCCGAGCGUUAGGCGGAAUCACUGGGCUUAAAGCGUGUGUAGGUGGAUGUCUAAGUACCUUGUGAAAUCCCACGGCUUAACCGUGGAACUGCUCGGUAUACUGGACGUCUUGAGCCAGCUAGGGGCUACCGGAACAAAUGGUGGAGCGGUGAAAUGCGUAGAUAUCAUUUGGAACGCCAAUGGUGAAAACAGGUAGCUGGGGCUGUGCUGACACUGAGACACGAAAGCCAGGGGAGCGAACGGGAUUAGAUACCCCGGUAGUCCUGGCCGUAAACGAUGUCGACUAGAUCGUAGUGGCUCUGACGCUAUUACGGUCGAAGCAAAAGUGCUAAGUCGACCGCCUGGGAAGUACGGUCGCAAGGUCUA
rnacentral:rRNA from 1 species